rnacentral:lncRNA from 1 species
UUCAGCUAUCAUUUUGCAGUUUUGUGAGUGUGUCUGAAGGAGAAAUCUCUAGAAGCAGACUCACUGAAUCAAUUGUGUUUCUGACAGGUGUUUCCAAAUCGCCGAAAUGCAUAUGUAGCAUUUGCCGCCUGUGCCCAGCUCACAUUCCGAGGACCUCUCAGUGUGUUUCUGUGACUUCCAACGUGUCCUCUACCAGUGGCCCAAUUUGAGGUGCCUUCCUUGCAUUCUUUUUGUUUGGAAUUACAAUCCGGCAAAAGUGAGGCGUUGUUGCUUUUAACAGUUAAAUCUCGGGGCUGCAGUCAAAGGUGCGAAGCGUCCAUGUGGAUGAAGAGUUGACAGCGUCGUUUUAAACAUCUGAAAACUGGAAUUGCAGGAAAGUGCUCAGAGAGCCAUAAUUACAGUAGCACUCCCAGCUGCUGCC